CAGCCGCCGCGGUAACACGUAGGUGGCAAGCGUUGUCCGGAAUUAUUGGGCGUAAAGGGCUCGCAGGCGGUUUCUUAAGUCUGAUGUGAAAGCCCCCGGCUCAACCGGGGAGGGUCAUUGGAAACUGGGAAACUUGAGUGCAGAGGAGGAGAGUGGAAUUCCACGUGUAGCGGUGAAAUGCGUAGAGAUGUGGAGGAACACCAGUGGCGAAGGCGACUCUCUGGUCUGUAACUGACGCUGAGGAGCGAAAGCGUGGGGAGCGAACAGGAUUAGAUACCCGCGUAGUCCCUGUCUCUUAUAC
rnacentral:rRNA from 1 species